ensembl:misc_RNA 7SK 7SK RNA
UGUAAGGGUGAUCUGGCUGUAGCAUUUGUCACCCCACCGACUGCCAAGGUAUAUGUGUCCCUCCCAAAGCUGCAUGCUCGGUGAAAGAGGAUGACCACCCCGGUGGAGGAGGCCCAUUUCCACUGUCAAGGGUAUACUAGUAGCUGCUGUACUAGUAAACUUCCAAACAAGCUCUCAAGGUUGAUUUACUUGGAUAUAAUUUUUUGGG